rnacentral:rRNA from 1 species
UAAGGAAUAUUGGUCAAUGGACGCAAGUCUGAACCAGCCAUGCCGCGUGAAGGAUGAAGGUCCUCUGGAUUGUAAACUUCUUUUAUCUGGGACGAAAACGGGAUUUUUAUCUCAAUUGACGGUACCAGAGGAAUAAGCACCGGCUAACUCCGUGCCAGCAGCCGCGGUAAUACGGAGGGUGCGAGCGUUAUCCGGAUUUACUGGGUUUAAAGGGUGCGUAGGUGGGCUUAUAAGUCAGUGGUGAAAUCUCCGAGCUUAACUUGGAAACUGCCGUUGAUACUAUAGGGUUUAAAUUAUCUGGAGGUAAGCGGAAUAUGUCAUGUAGCGGUGAAAUGCUUAGAUAUGACAUAGAACACCAAUUGCGAAGGCAGCUUACUACAUAUAAAUUGACGAUGAGGCACGAAAGCGUGGGGAUCAAACA